GUACUCACCAGGCAGGGGAGGGACCACAGUCACCGAGGUGGUUCCCCAGGGCGGGCUUGUCCAUUGCACCCGGGACGUGCUAACCCUUGCGAUCUCCCCAAACAUGGAUAACUCCACUGCAUCAUUUGUGGUUAGGGGGGGACUGUGUUCACACUCUCCUCUG